GACGAACGCUGGCGGCGUGCCUAACACAUGCAAGUCGAGCGAACGGACGAGAAGCUUGCGUCUCUGAUGUUAGCGGCGGACGGGUGAGUAACAUGUGGAUAACCUACCUAUAAGACUGGGAUAAUUUCGGGAAACCGGAUCUAAUACCGGAUAAUAUUUUGCACCGCAUGGGUCAAAAGUGAAAGUCGGUCUUGCUGUCACUUAUAGAUGGAUCCGCGCUGCAUUAGCUAGUUGGUAAGGUAACGGCUUACCAAGGCAACGAUGCAUAGCCGACCUGAGAGAGUGAUCGGCGACACGGGAACUGAGACGGGGUCCAGACUCCUGCGAGAGGCAGCAGUAGGGAAUCUUACGCAAUGGGGGAGAGCCUGACGGAGCAACGCGGCGUGAGUGAUGAAGGUGUUCGGAGCGUAAAGCUGUGUUAUUAGGGAAGAACAUAUGUGUAAGUAACUGUGGAGAUAUUGACGGUACCUAAUCAAGAAGCCCCGGCUAACUACGUG
rnacentral:rRNA from 1 species